AGCAAGGUCAGCUAAUAAAAGCUUUUGGGCCCAUGCCCCAAAUAUGUUGGUUAAAAUCCCACCCCUGCUA
rnacentral:tRNA from 1 species